CCGAGUGGAGUGGGGACGGGAGGGGCGGGGACGGUGCCUGAAGAGGGCAGGUGACCACCGUGCAGGAAGUGCUGCCUGUCGGCCUCACUCCCUGGGGCACCGCGUGGCCGUAAAGCAGCAGCCUGAUGUCACAGAGGAGACCCGACCCUGGAAUGAGCUGGAUGUGACUCCCAGGCCUCCUCUACCAUCUACCGAUUUUAUGGUUUGUCUCAGCCUCCAUGCCACCUGGUCCCCACAUCUGCGUCCUGCAGGGACCCGCCGAGCUUCCGCUGGAGAAGGAACCGAGCCAUCCCACCAACACCCCCCCUGCGCCUGGUUGCUAAGGGCAGUGUGUCCUGUUGUUCACCCCACUUCGGCCUCCUCCCUGCAGGCCUAGAUUUCAGGCCCUUCGUCCUCCAUCUCUCUGACUUCUUCUCCAUGUGCUGACAUCCCCUCCAACUCCAAGCACCGGCGCUCAUAACCUACGCUCUGCGAUUUACCGUCCAGUCCGAAGACAUGGGCUCUCCCCACUUCCUCCUGCUCUUGUGGACAUGAUAAGGGAGGGUGAAGACAGUGAAGGGGCCAUGGGCCAGCGAGACCUGGUGAAGCCCACCUUCACGGGAUUGCGUAGCACCCCACGGAGGAGCAAGUCCGAACUGUUGCCUUGAUGAUUGAAUUGGAAGAUAACAAUCCGACAUGUGCACUUAAAACAAUAUGUAUUCUUCUUCUUUUUUUCAGAAAAUUUGCGGGACUCACUUGAUGAUAAUCCACUAACAAUUAGCCAGAAGGCUAAUAGGGGAGGGGCAGAAUAAGGUGAAAAACCCAUGACUAAAAUAGAUGACUAAUACGGACCUACUGUAUAGCACAGGGAACUCUACUCAAUACUCUGUAAUGACCUAUAUGGGAAAAGAAUCUAAAAAAGAGUGGAUAUAUGUACAUGUAUAACUGAUUCACUUUGCUGUACACCUGAAACUAACACAACAUUGUAAAUCAACUAUACUCCAAUAAAAAUUAAUCACAGAAAAAAAGAAAAACCUGUGACUCAAUUCACGGGCAUGGAAACAUAUUGUCCAGGGAUUUGGGAAAUAAAACUGAUGACCCACUGUCAUUUGAAAUUGGGAGAUUCUUGAAGAUUUUUCCUUUUCCAGUACAGUCCCUGUGGACCAGCUACUCCUGACACGGUUGUGAUUGUUCAAAGCUGGAGACGCCACCCACUGUGUCUGACCACUGGAGUUCCAGCUCCCAAACCAAAGGCUGCCCUCUAACAAGAAAGAUGGAUUUCCAUCUCAUCCCAAAGGCUCAUGGAAGACAUACAAGUGGCCCUUGAA